UUAGGUCAUAUUUUCUGCUUUGCUGUGAGCAAAGCAUGCAUUUAUUUAUUUAUCACUUAUUUCUUAUUUAUUUCUUUUAGUCUCUUGCAGUGUCAUUCCUCACCUUCAUCCUUAUCCUGGAUCAAGGGAAUUUUUCUAAAUGAGCUGGACAAACAGAGGGAAUGGAGAGCUGGAUGACCUUUGGUCAGUUCACAGAUGCCCUGUGUUCCCCAUACAGCCUCACUUCACCCUGGAGACCAGGGGAACCCAGCAGAACCCUCAAACAGAGUGACAGAAGCUACGAGCGUUAAGCCAGUUACAAAAAACACAGGAAGAAGUCCACUGUACCCACAAGGCCACAGUGGCGAGUAAUUACACUGCAGACCUGGAAUGAAAUAAAGAGUGGGAGUGAACAAAAGGAGAGGCGAGAGUGUGAAAGAAAGGAAUUUUGUUUGUUAUGGUCUUAAAAAGACCACUGGUGC
ensembl:lncRNA